rnacentral:sRNA from 1 species
AUCCGAUUCCCACAGUGAAAAUGAUUUUUUUCACAGCAAAAAAUUUCAAUAUGGCGUCCCCUUCGGGUUGUCCGAACCGAGUGGAGGGGAAUUACUUUUGAAUCAGUCACCAAAUGAUCCUCACAGUUGGAAAACUUUAAAAUACAAAACAACUGUCUGGAAAUGAUGAGAAAAAUUGAUGGCAUUCAAGUCAAUACAACAAUAUAAGCCAAGACCUAAUAUUUCAGAGAUGUCAACAAAUUUUAAAACUUGUUUCUGUUUGAUAAAAGCUUAAAUAUUUAAUAAAAAGUCAAAACAACUUGGUCGUUUGCGUACUUGGCAACCCUA